GUCAACAGUCAGAAUGUCUGUAUUUUCCUCAUCUACUUGAAUGCCUGUCCAAUCCCAUUCUCAAACCUACAGCUGAGAAGCAGAUGAACACUCAUGUGCAUUGGCCAAGAAAUAGACAUCGACACAAGGAUUCAAGAUGACAUCUUUUUUUGGGAAGGUGCCUGAGUGGCUCAGUCAACAUCGGACUUUGGCUCAG